CACGUAGGCGGAUCGUUAAGUCGGGGGUGAAAUCCUGGAGCUCAACUCCAGAACUGCCUUCGAUACUGGCGAUCUUGAGUCCGGAAGAGGUGAGUGGAACUCCUAGUGUAGAGGUGGAACUCGUAGAUAUUAGGAAGAACACCAGUGGCGAAGGCGGCUCACUGGUCCGGUACUGACGCUGAGGUGCGAAAGCGUGGGGAGCAAACA
rnacentral:rRNA from 1 species